rfam:Ciona savignyi cont_1163, whole genome shotgun sequence.
GAACUGUGGCUUCUCUUUAACGUAUAAUUCUUUGCCUUUUACUAAAGAAUUCCGUGGAGGGGAGCAGUUCAAUAAGUCUUGAACAGUUUUUUCAUAGAAUACUAACUUACAGUAAGUUA